CCUACGGGAGGCAGCAGUUUCGAAUCAUUCACAAUGGGCGAAAGCCUGAUGGUGCGACGCCGCGUGAGGGAUGAAGGUCUUCGGAUUGUAAACCUCUGUCACCGGGGAAGAAACGCUAUACGAUAAUAUCGGAUAGCCUGACUUAACCCGGAGAGGAAGCAGUGGCUAACUCUGUGCCAGCAGCCGCGGUAAU
rnacentral:rRNA from 1 species